UUUUCAUAAUAUAAAAGCCAAGCUCUACAAUAUAGUUGAAGAGGGAAAUAUCAAACUAUCAUCACAUCUCUCAACCUAAUUACAAACUGCACUUGAAUUGUUUUGCCUUGUUCUUCCAUGGGAUUUUAUUUAGCACAUGACAGAAGUUAUAGUUACUCUGUGGCAAUAAUAAAAUAAUUUAUCCCUGCUAGCUGAGCAACACAUCUUCUGCAAUGCAGUACAUCAUAGCAUGUUGUCCACUUCCAAGUCCAUCAAAGACCUUCUGUUGAAGCAACAUAGUGCAGUUUAAUUAAUUGUUCCAUGCUACAACUUGUACAAUCCGCCCAGGAUCUGAACACCAUCUCUUGAGUCUCAUUACCUGUGCUAUAAGGAAAUCACUUCUUACUUGAUGGAAAAGACAAAGCUCAACUGCGGUUGUCUAGAUCGUAAGAGACUUGACAGAUAAAAAAUAAUGAAAACUUGUUCAGAUUCAUCAACUGGAAUCAUCUGAUUAUUAUUAUCAAACAGAAGAGACUUCAUAGCUGGCAUUCAAUAUGUUUCAACAAAGGGUCAUACUUUGGACUUUGAAAUUACUUUCAGACAGAUUUUUUAU
rnacentral:lncRNA from 11 species